rnacentral:lncRNA from 1 species
AAAAACAGUUACUGUUCUCCUUUCCUCAGUUCUAAUGACUCUUUAAUAAAAGAAACAACUGCUUUUACAUCAUUUGGUGUUGAUGGAUUAAGUAUUAUCACGAGUUUAUCAGUAAAAUUAAGUGUAUUAAAAUUUACAUAUUUUUGUAUAUAAUAUUUUAGAAAGAUUUCUCUUAUAUUUUUAUUUAUUUUACAGUUGAAGAAAAA